rnacentral:lncRNA from 1 species
CAUAGUCUGUCCUGGCCUCCAAAAGUAUCCAGGUUCAUUCACUACUUUUUUAGAGUGGAUUUGGUGGACUAACCUAGAACUAUCACAAAUUUGACCUAUUCACGCACAAAUCUCAUCUCAAAAUCAUGUUCUCUUGAAUUUGUACAAUGAUGGGAACAACUCAUUCAAGUCUUUUGUGGACAAGAAUAAAAGAUGAGUUUUGGGUGUGGAAAAUUUUGAAUUUUGAAAAGAAAUAGAAGUUGUUCAUUUUAGCUGUGUCUGAUUCUUCAUUUCUCCAUUUGGGAUUUUCUUGCAGGGAUACUAGAGUUGUUUGCCAUUUCUGCCUCCAUCUCACUUUAUAGAUGAAGAACUGAGGCAAACAAGGUUAAGUGACUUAUCAGCAUCACACAGCUAGUGUCUGAGGUCCAAUUCAAAUUGAGGUAGUUGUGUCUUCCUGACUAUAAGAAUGGCACUCUAUCCAUUGCACUACCUAGCUGCCCUGAGAGAUAGAAGUUGGGAUAUUAUUUUAUUGUCUGGAAAGUAUGUAUCUCAGAGGAGUUAAAGCUACUCACGUUUCUCACCUAAUUAGGCUACUUUAGUAGAUUUAGCCUUCACCAUUUUACUCAGGGAUAAGUAGGAAGAAGUAGGAGGAGGAGCACAUUGACAAGAUCAUGCCUAGGUCAGAAAGUUAAGCCCUGGAUAAACUUGGCCAGAACCAAUGUGUGGAAAAGCAGUGGAAAUGGCUGCAGUGAGGGCUGUGUUUGGAUCUCUAAUAUGGAGUUGAAGGGGAUAAUAUCUCAGAUAUUUAGUAUAUCAAAAGUGUUGUCUAGACUUUCUCAGAAAACAUUUUGAUUAGUCAUGUAUACUUGAAGGCUGACCAUUAGCCAACGGAGAAGUGUCAGGUGUAGCCAAAGUUCAUAAGAUGAAGAGAGGAAGUACCAUUCAUGGCUUCUCUAGGGAUAUACUCAGUGGGAGAAGGAGAAGAAUCAGUGUUCUUGUUGGAGAAGUUUCCCAAGUACUGCAAAAAAUGGAGCAUUGAUUCUAAGAUGGAAGUGUAAGAGAGAAGUUACAAAAGAAGAGAAAAAUCAGAUUCAGUAAUGCAAAGGAACAGCUCAAGCAGGGGAAGGGCAAGGAAGACUCAAGAUUCCAGGAAGGAACAGGUGAGCAGGGAGCAUUCAAAACUAUCAGCUUACUUCUGGUCAGCUCUCUUCUGAAGUGGAUGGUCUGAGAGGAGGACCUCUGAGAUGGAGGAUCCCUCUGGACACUGACUACAUUCCAGUGAACCUCUAAAUCUCUCUGGUUCCAGCUGAGGACAAAAGUAGACUGGGACUUUAUAGAAAGUCAUCAUCCACUGAGAAGAUCUCUCUUUGCCCAAAUUGUCCUGAACUUCAACUCAUAGCCAGAUUAGCUUAGUAGGAAGGACAAACCCAAUAACUGGUCAAAAGGAGUGUCAGGCAGACAACCUGAACCCCUCAGGAUUUGGGGGGGAGGUCAGUUGCUAAUCUCUAGGGAUUCCUAUCUCCCACUUUCCUCACCCAACACCCUUACUCUCCCUGCCCUGUGUGUUCUCAAGAAUAAAGUGUUACCAUUUAGAUCA